GUGUUGUAUAUAUUUUAGCAGGCUAAUGGGCGAAUCAGUGUUCUACUUAUUCUGCAUUAAAAGAAUAUAGUAGUUGGUAUAUAGCUAGGAUUUAUUUGCUUGGGAGAGCCACUGAAACGAUACUCUUACUCUCUGCACUAUAGCUACUCUUACAAUCUAGUACAAAACCAAUUACAAACAAAUUGAUCAGGGUCCUCAUCGACCUAUCAUUCCUGUGACAUUUUGUAAUUGUCUUAAUUGUUGUUCAAUGUCCCUCUUUAUAAUAUUGUAAAGCACUGCAGAAUAAGUUGACACUAUAUAAAUG